GGAAUUGACGGGGGCCCGCACAAGCAGCGGAGCGUGUGGUUUAAUUCGAGGCUACACGAAGAACCUUACCUGGGUUUGACAUACAAGUAGUAGUGAAGCGAAAGCGGAACGACCUUCGGGAGCUUGUACAGGUGCUGCAUGGCUGUCGUCAGCUCGUGCCGUGAGGUGUUCGGUUAAGUCCGCAAACGAGCGCAACCCUCGGCGUUAGUUACAAGUGUCUAACGCAACUGCCCGUGAGAAACGGGAGGAAGGUGGGGAUGACGUCAAGUCAGCAUGGCCUUUAUAUCCAGGGCUACACACACGGUACAAUGGGCGGUACAACGGGUCGCGAAGCCGCGAGGUGGAGCCAAUCCAUAAAGCCGUUCGUAGUUCGGAUUGCAGGCUGCAACUCGCCUGCAUGAAGUCGGAGUUGCUAGUAACCGCAGGUCAGCUAUACUGCGGUGAAUACGUUCCCGGGCCUUGUACACACCGCCCGUCACGUCAUGGGAGCUGGUCACGCCUGAAGUCGGGGAGCUAACCUAACGGAGGCAACCGCCGAGGGCAGGGCUGGUGACUGGGACGAAGUCGUAACAAGGUAGCUGUACCGGAAGGUGCGGCUGGAUCACCUCC
rnacentral:rRNA from 1 species